rnacentral:rRNA from 1 species
GAUGAACGCUGGCGGCGUGCCUAAUACAUGCAAGUCGAGCGAACGGACGAGAAGCUUGCUUCUCUGAUGUUAGCGGCGGACGGGUGAGUAACACGUGGAUAACCUACCUAUAAGACUGGGAUAACUUCGGGAAACCGGAGCUAAUACCGGAUAAUAUUUUGAACCGCAUGGUUCAAAAGUGAAAGACGGUCUUGCUGUCACUUAUAGAUGGAUCCGCGCUGCAUUAGCUAGUUGGUAAGGUAACGGCUUACCAAGGCAACGAUGCAUAGCCGACCUGAGAGGGUGAUCGGCCACACUGGAACUGAGACACGGUCCAGACUCCUACGGGAGGCAGCAGUAGGGAAUCUUCCGCAAUGGGCGAAAGCCUGACGGAGCAACGCCGCGUGAGUGAUGAAGGUCUUCGGAUCGUAAAACUCUGUUAUUAGGGAAGAACAUAUGUGUAAGUAACUGUGCACAUCUUGACGGUACCUAAUCAGAAAGCCACGGCUAACUACGUGCCAGCAGCCGCGGUAAUACGUAGGCGGCAAGCGUUAUCCGGAAUUAUUGGGCGUAAAGCGCGCGUAGGCGGUUUUUUAAGUCUGAUGUGAAAGCCCACGGCUCAACCGUGGAGGGUCAUUGGAAACUGGAAAACUUGAGUGCAGAAGAGGAAAGUGGAAUUCCAUGUGUAGCGGUGAAAUGCGCAGAGAUAUGGAGGAACACCAGUGGCGAAGGCGACUUUCUGGUCUGUAACUGACGCUGAUGUGCGAAAGCGUGGGGAUCAAACAGGAUUAGAUACCCUGGUAGUCCACGCCGUAAACGAUGAGUGCUAAGUGUUAGGGGGUUUCCGCCCCUUAGUGCUGCAGCUAGCGCAUUAAGCACUCCGCCUGGGGAGUACGACCGCAAGGUUGAAACUCAAAGGAAUUGACGGGGACCCGCACAAGCGGUGGAGCAUGUGGUUUAAUUCGAAGCAACGCGAAGAACCUUACCAAAUCUUGACAUCCUUUGACAACUCUAGAGAUAGAGCCUUCCCCUUCGGGGGACAAAGUGACAGGUGGUGCAUGGUUGUCGUCAGCUCGUGUCGUGAGAUGUUGGGUUAAGUCCCGCAACGAGCGCAACCCUUAAGCUUAGUUGCCAUCAUUAAGUUGGGCACUCUAAGUUGACUGCCGGUGACAAACCGGAGGAAGGUGGGGAUGACGUCAAAUCAUCAUGCCCCUUAUGAUUUGGGCUACACACGUGCUACAAUGGACAAUACAAAGGGCAGCGAAACCGCGAGGUCAAGCAAAUCCCAUAAAGUUGUUCUCAGUUCGGAUUGUAGUCUGCAACUCGACUACAUGAAGCUGGAAUCGCUAGUAAUCGUAGAUCAGCAUGCUACGGUGAAUACGUUCCCGGGUCU